CCGACUGUCAGCGCGCCGGGCGCGGCGGGGCCGAGACAGAUAAAACCAUCGACCGGUCGCCGCCAGCGCUUCGGCUUUAUCGAUCCGACGGGAAUUUCACUUGCUGUGCAGAUCCCGCUGUCCGGCUGUCAGACACCGGGUGGGGGGGCGUGCCAGGGGUUAGGGGUGCAGCGCCGGGCCCGCACGUGAGGGGCACAGAGGGGAAGUCCCUCUGCGGGAAGCAAAUUACUCGGAGACCCUCCAGACGGCCACCUGCCACCGAGUGGGCCUCAGCUGCGGAAGGGCAUUUCUCAGGCUCUGCUGGUUCUAGGCUAGUCCCAGUGAGCAGCCUUGUCCUCGGGAAACUCAAGCUGUCCUCUGGAGACACCCACGUGUGGAGGAGCCUUCUUGGGAAUGGCUCCCAAAGUCCCUGCAUCAAACCAGACGACUGCAGCCUUGGCUGACAUCUGAACUGCAGCCUCACGAGAGACUGAGCCAGAAGCCACGACGACCCACAGCUACCCAACUAAGCUGUUCCUGAAUUGAUGGUCCAUAGACACUGUAGAUAAUAAAUGUUUGUUGUUUCAAGCCA